UACGUAGGAGGCAAGCGUUGUCCGGAAUUACUAGGGCGUAAAGCGCGUGUAGGUGGUGGGACAAGUCUGCUGUGAAAGCGGCCUGGCUUAACCGGGGCGAGGUCGGCGGAAACGUGUCGCACUCGAGGACGGUAGAGGGGGUGGAAUUCCCGGUGUAGGUGGUGAAAUGCGUAGAGAUCGGGAGGAACACCUGUGGCGAAGGCGGAGCCCCCUGG
rnacentral:rRNA from 1 species